rnacentral:rRNA from 1 species
CAUCGGGGCGUCGAAUGACUCUGCUGGCGUGUAGGUGCAUUGAAUCCUUUUGGUAAAGGGGUGGUUAGUGGCAGACGGGUGAGUAAUGCAUAUGAAUCUGCCUAGUAGUAUAGGAUAGCCACUAGAAAUGGUGGGUAAUACUGUAUAAUCCCUGCGGGGGAAAGAUUUAUCGCUACUAGAUGAGCCUAUGUCAGAUUAGCUAGUUGGUGGGGUAAUGGCCCACCAAGGCUGUGAUCUGUAGCUGGUCUGAGAGGAUGAUCAGCCACACUGGAACUGAGACACGGUCCAGACUCCUACGGGAGGCAGCAGUGGGGAAUAUUGGACAAUGGGCGCAAGCCUGAUCCAGCUAUGCCGCGUGAGUGAGGAAGGCCUUAGGGUUGUAAAACUCUUUCAGUAGGGAAGAUAAUGACGGUACCUACAGAAGAAGUCCCGGCAAACUCCGUGCCAGCAGCCGCGGUAAUACGGAGGGGGCAAGCGUUGUUCGGAAUUAUUGGGCGUAAAGGGCAUGUAGGCGGUUUGGUAAGUUAAAGGUGAAAUACCAGGGCUUAACCCUGGGGCUGCUUUUAAUACUGCAGGACUAGAGUCCGGAAGAGGAUAGCGGAAUUCCUAUGUGAGAGGUGAAAA